UAGUGCUCUGGAGACCGCCCUUGUCC
rnacentral:piRNA from 1 species